ACGGAGGGUGCAAGCGUUAUCCGGAUUCACUGGGUUUAAAGGGUGCGUAGGUGGGCAGGUAAGUCAGUGGUGAAAUCCUCCAGCUUAACUGGAGAACUGCCAUUGAUACUGAAAGACUUGAGUACAGACGAGGUAGGCGGAAUUGACAGUGUAGCGGUGAAAUGCAUAGAUAUUGUCAAGAACACCGAUUGCGAAGGCAGCUUACUAGACUGUAACUGACGCUGAGGCACGAAAGUGCGGGGAUCAAACAGGA
rnacentral:rRNA from 1 species